AGCCGAGUGGCAGGUGGCAGAAGCCCGGGCUCUGGUCCACACGCUGGCUGGCUGGUCUGUGGUGGAGACCAUGGUGGUGUCCACCAAAACGCCUGAGAGGAAGCUCAUCUUUGGCAAAGGGAACUUUGAGCACCUGACAGGUGAGUCCCUUUGGGUGUGUCCCUCCCCUCUGUCUCUGCCAAGAGCAGGCAGGCAGAGUCCUGCAAGGGCUGGCUCCCUGGGGCCCAGGAAGCAGCCGGGCAGGUCUCAGGCGGGAGGGGACAGCAGAGGAGGGGGUUGCAGGAUGUCCCCACAGGCCUGUGCAUGGGGCUCAGAUGGGUCACAGGUUGGAUGAGUCACCUGGGGGUCCCAGGGGGCAGGUCGUGCCAGCAGAUGGGGUAACUGCACCCGUGGCAGCCCCAGCGCACCCUCCCUCCGACAUUGCACCACAGUCGGGGCCCUUUGUACCUCUGUCCCGCUCAAUUCCAGAGCUCCCCACUCCCCCUGAACCCGAAAAGCCCGCUGAGGCUGGGCCGGUGGUCCUAUUGAACCGGAACCCAGACGUCUCUGAGAUGCUGCUGUGCGUGCGUGGGUGGUGCGUGGGUGUCUCCUGUGCACCUCCAGAUGGUCCCUGGCGACUUCUCCUGCAAUGCACUUGGGAAUUCGCGGAACCGUCCAGACACUGUGCGUCCCACUGCCGCGCUGCGAGGUGGGUCUGAGCCACGACCCCGGGGCAGCGCUUCUGACAGGACCUUCUCUUGCCCUUAGAAAGAAUCAGAGGGUCUCCAGAAAUCACGUGCGUGUUCCUGAACGUGGAGAGGCUGUCCCCGCCCACCAAGGUACAUCGGAGUGUCCCCACACCGGCGUUGAAAGCUUCGCUCUGCAGCACAUGGCCAGGGUGUCCCGCGGAUCCCUCCCGAGGCCAGCCGCAGUGGCGGGUCCCUCCGAACCCUCUCCCGGCCCGUUUCUCCUUUCCAGAAAGAGCUGGAGGCCGCCUGGGGCGUGCGGGUGUUGGACCGCUUCACCGUGGUUCUGCACAUCUUCCGCUGCCACGCGCGCACCAAGGAGGCCCGGCUGCAGGUGGCGCUGGCCGAGAUCCCCCUGCUCAGGUACCGCGGCCCAUCCGGCCUGACUGCCCCGGGGCCCCUCUGGAUUAGCUGGUUUGUCACACGGGCAUCAAGAGAAGAGAAGCCACGUACAGCUCGGCUCCGGGGGGCGCCCUGUGCCUGGGCGGGCUCUCCACGUCCUCCCCCUAGGAGCCCCAGGUGUGGAGCGCCACCCCGUGGCAGUGGGGGACCCACCACCCAGGGAGAGGCCCCCUCAGCGCUUCCCUCUCUGCGGUCAAAGCCCCUGCCCCUGCCUGGCUUUUCGGGAGGGACCCCGUGUCCGCAGCAGGUAAGUGCGUCCUGUUUCCACACCAGGUCGAACCUGAAGCACGACGCGGCAGUCUCGGACCGAGGCGGCGGGGGCUCUCGGUACAUCAUGGGGUCCGGUAAGGCGUGGCCUGGGGCGGGGCAUGUCAGCGCAGCCUCCCUCGGAAAGGGGAGGCAGCCCUGGGAGACCCCGGGGAGGCUCGCAGCGGGCCUGGUCUCACAUCCGAGCUAAUGUUCACUUCUGUUGCGUCACUGAGCACCACAAACGGGCAAUUGAUAAGAACUGAGUCUGUCGCCAGGCGCGGUGGCACACCUGUAAUCCCAGGGGCUCGGGAGGGUGCCGCAGGAGGAUCGCGAACUCAAAGCCAGCCUCCGCAAUGGCGAGGCCCUAAGCGACUCAUGAGACCCUGUCUCUAAAUAAAAUCCAAAAUAGGGCUGGGGAUGGGGCUCAGUGGUCGACUGCUCCUGAGUUCGAUCCCGGGUACCCCAGCGAACAACAAAAAGAAUAGUCUGUCCGGCUUAUGUCCUGAUGGCUGCAAGUCCAAGAACGAGGUGUCAGCCAGCGUCUGUUGGGGACUGGUGCUGCAUUGUGACAUGGCAGAGUAUAUCACGUGGCCAGUAUGCAAGGGACAGCCUGCUUUUAAUUAAACAAAGCCAUUCCCUUGAUAAUGCGUAAACCCACGAACACCCCAAUUCACAAACGGACACGUGCAUUCACCCCACUAAUCUAUGAAGGGACUCAUCCACUCCCCCACAAAUGGGUUAACCCACUAAUCCGCGGACUGGCUGGUUCACUGAUCUAUAAAUGGACUAAUCCACAAACGACUAUCCUACUAAGCCACCAGUGGAGUGACCCAUAAGUAGACUAACCCCCGACCACAAACAGAUACGCGCACUAACGCAGUGGGGACUGAUGAGUGAGCACACAGUCCUUAUGUGGAUUAAUCCACUAACCCGUGAGUGGACUCAUCGGACUCCUCCGCUAAUCCACGAAUGGAUUAGUCCAUUGUCCGCGUGGCCCAUUCAUCUCCCAGGGACCCCACCUCCGAACACAAGUAGCUACUGAGUUGGCAGUUGCGUCUCCAGCACCCCAAUGCUGGGGACACGCACAGCCUGGUCCCGGUCAUGGCCCUCUCUGGGCUGAGGUAGCAAUGACCCAGGAUUGGGGGGCAGGGCAGGGACUUGCGGGCCACGUUGGCCCUAUUGCAUGUCAUCCCAGGCUGUCCUCCGAGGCGCCCCUCAGCUGGUUCCCCCCGGGUAAAGGGAGCUGGCCGGGGUCCCGCGUGGAAAAGCUCGGUAGAGGCGCCAGGCCUCGGCAGAAGUGGGUGGGCGGGGCCCUCUGAGAAGGCGCAGGCGCAGUUGGCUCCUUCGCGACCCUCGCGCCUGCGCCUGACGCGCCCGCCCUCGGAUUCUGCAGGAGAGUCCUUCCUGCAGCUGCGGCAGCGCCUCCUGAGGGAGAAGGAGGUGAAGCUCCGGAGGGCCCUGGAGAGGCUGCGCAGGAAGAGGCAGCUCCUGCGGAGGCAGCGCGCCAAGCGGGAGUUCCCGGUGGUCGCCGUGGUCGGGUACACCAACUGCGGUGAGGCGCCGCCCGCAGAGUGCGGCCUCGGCAGGGCAGGGCCCAGGCCCGGGUUCCGCGGCCGGCCCCGCAGCGAAGGCCAGAGACAGCUGCGGGCAGCUCUGCAGAGGCCCGAGCAGGACGCGGGGUCUGGCUCCCCUGGUCGCUGCCCAGGAUAAACGCCCGCGGCCAGCCCGCCGUGUGCGCGCUCUGCACGCGGGAGGAUCCAGGUCCGCACCCCCGGGGCCCCGGGGCCCUGCCUGAGAAGGGGCAGCCAGGUAUGGCCCAGGUGCCCCCGAGGCAGGUCCAGGGAGCAGCCCAGUGGGGAGGCCGGUCACCAGGGGCCACCACAAAGCCACCUUCAGACCCAGUUCCUACACCAUCCUCAAGACACCACUGCACAGCGCCAGGCCCGUGUACACCACCCCACACCAGGUACACGAACCAGGUCUGUCUACACCACCCGCAAGAACCAGGUCCGUCUCCACCACCCCACACCAGGUGCAGGAACCAAGUCCAUCCACACCACCCCACCCCAGGUGCAGGAACCAGGUCCAUCCACACCACCCCACACCAGGCUGGUCCACAGCACCCACCCCACCAUCUACACCGCAUGCUGUGUGCACACGUCACCUGCACCACCACCCCUCCUGGCUGCACACGACCCAGGGCUAGUCCUGUACCUUCCCUCUCUGGCCACCAGGGUCGCUGAGGAGCUGGCACCCAGGGCCUGGGUAAACUGGAUCUUGCUGCCUCUGCCAGGGCCGGGUCUCAGGGGUGGACAGGGCCUGUGGCCAGGCCAGGCGGGGCUCCCUGGGACCUCGUGUGUGUGUCCUGUGCCUCCCCCAGGGAAAACCACACUGAUCCGGGCCCUGACGGGUGACGAGGCCGCGCAGCCUCGGGACCAGCUGUUUGCCACACUGGACAUCACGGCCCAUGCAGGAUCCCUGCCCUCGCGCAUGACCGUCCUCUACAUGGACACCAUCGGCUUCCUCUCCCAGCUGCCCCACGGCCUGAUCGAGUCCUUCUCUGCCACCCUGGAGGAUGUGGCCCACUCGGUGAGUUGGGUGGCCCUGUGGACAAGACCCCAUAGACAAGCCCUGGGGGCCAGGCCCCUCCGUAGGACAUGAUCCUCCAGCUCCAGCAGGAGUCCCUGGGCCUCCCCAGGGGACAGAAACCACAGGAGUCCAGCUCCCCCAGCCCUGGAGGGCAGAGGCUGGACCAGGGGUCACAGGCUCCAGGGAGGCUCCUCCUACCUGUCCAGCUCCUGGGGCCCAGGCGCGGAGGUGAGCGGACGGGCAGUGUGACUGGUGGCGCAGCCAGGAACCUCCCAUGCAAACCGUCUCGCGGUCCAGCCCCGACGGGGUGGACUGUCCCCACCCGUGGGCCACGCUUCUCCUGGAGAAGUUGCAGAAGUCACAAUGACCUCACGGAGGCCCAGGCUGUGCGUGGGGGCCAGGGCAGGGCGCCGGCCAGCCUCCACGGGCAGCUCCUCGUUCUGGGGCCCGGGAGGCCAGGCCAGCCACUGGAGACGGGGUGCUGGCGGGCGGUGGCAGGACCCAGGCACAGGAACUAGGAAGCCUGUGUCCACCUCGGACAUGUCCUGGCCUCCAGCAGCCCUGUCUUGGGGGUCAGGGCCACCCCCACUGCCACCUUCCUAGGCGGUGGUGCCCUCGAGCCCCUCCUGGGCCUCCCACAGGCAGGUGAGCACGACCCCGGAGCCCCGUCCCCAGCCUGUUUUGUGUUUUAUUAGAGACUGGGUCUCCUUGAGCUGCUUAGGGCCUCACCUUUACCCCCUGACCAUGUGGCCUGUCCACAGGCAGCUGGGGACGGCAGCCCUGCAGCCCCCUGACCAUGUGGCCUAUCCACAAGCAGGUGGGGACAGCAGUCCCCUGACCAUGUACCUGUCCACAGGCAGCUGGGGACGGCAGCCCUGCAGCCCCCUGACCAUGUACCUGUCCACAGGCCGGUGGGGACGGCAGCCCCCUGACCAUGUGGCCUGUCCACAGGCAGGUGGGGAUGGAAGUCCCCUGACCCGUGGCCUCCCUGUCCACCAGGAUCUCAUUGUGCACGUGAGAGACGUCAGCCACCCCGAGACGGAGCUGCAGAAAGUCAGCGUCCUGUCUGCCCUGCAGGGCCUGGGCCUGCCCGCCCCUCUGCUGGACUCCGUGGUCGAAGUGCACAACAAGGUGGAUCUGGUUCCGGGGUGAGUGGGCCGCGCUGCACCCACAGGCUUCUCCUUCCCUGGGCAUCCCCAUCGGGGAGGGUCGGGGUGGACUGUGGCUUUCCCACGAGGGACAGACGUGUCCAUCUCCCAGUGCUGCUAAGGGCCAUUGGCAUCCAGCCUCCCUGUGACAUUGGUGGCAGUGGCCUUUCCUGUUGAAGUGACUUGGUCCCACGAGGAGCACCCAGAGCACCCAGGCUGGGCCCCUUGGGUGGGACCUCACCUCUGCAGCUGCCCCAGGGCUGACCGGUGUGCUGGCCUCUCUCAGGUACCGUCCCCCAGACCCGAGCGCAGUGGCCGUGUCCGCCCUCCUGGGACAGGGGCUGGAGGAGCUGAGGGUGGGGCUGGAGGAGGCCGUGCUGAGGGCCACCGGGAGGCAGGUGCUCACCCUGCACAUCAAGCUGGCCGGGCCGCAGCUCAGGUGAGGGACCCAGACCCGGGUCUGCCCCCGGACGGCGGUGGGCCUGGGCCUUGCAGCAUGGCCACCUUUAGCUGCCUCCGUGCACAGAGGGUGGGUAGUGGGCGUGGAAGUCCAUGCUGAUGCUGGCAUGUGCAUACACCAGGUGCUUAAGCUGUGCUCGCUCAUGUUGCAGGGCUGCACGUCCUGUCCACCUCCAGUGUGCCCGGGCCUCCAGCAGCCCUCUCCUGGGGGCGGAAGGAGCCGCUCCCACCACCACCUUCCGGGGCUGGGGAGCGCUGUGGGCAGCGGGGAGAGGUGGGCUGGGCUUCAGAGACGGCCACGCCCUGACGGGCCUCUCUGCCCCCAGCUGGCUUUACGAGGAGGCCACGGUGCAGCAGGUGGACGUGCUGCCUGAGGCCGGGGCAGCCCACGUGAAGGUCAUCAUCAGCAACUCGGCCUAUGGCAAGUUCCGGAAGCUCUUCCCAGGAUGAACUCGCCUGCGCUGGGCACUGUGUGGCUUCCGAACUGGAAACAAGUGGCCGCGGCCUCGCUGGCUGCACCCCCACCCCGCCCACGGCCGAGCAGGGCCGGCGGUCGGCCCAGCCUGCACCCCUCCCGCAGCUGGUCAGCCUGUGGUGUCCCUGCUGCUAUUAAAGUCCAUGUCAGGUGUGCGAACAGC
rnacentral:lncRNA from 1 species